GGAAGCAGGAAAUAUUUGCAACAACAACUUAUUGCCUUUUUUCUUUUACCUCCUUAUCUCCCCCUCUUUGUUCUAUAAAAGAAACCAGCAUCCAAAUCCAGGCAAGAUGGUUCUUCAGGAUACUAAUCCACCACCAUCUUGGUCUGCUGUCUUUCUAAAUAAAGUCCCAGUUCCUUGCCCCAGCACCUCAUCUCACCGGCCUGGCCUGUGAGAAGCAGUAUGAACUUGGACUCGGUAAACAUAGUGAGUUCAUACUGGCAUCAGCAAGGGUGCAAAUAACCCCAUGUUCUUCAUGCUGUUUCUACCACUCUCAACCUCUCCAUCCAUAUACAUUCUACACAAAAUACCUUCUCCAGCAAAGGUCAGGUUUAGUAUCCAAAAAUAAUUUCAGGAAUAUAUGGUAAACAUAAUCUACUAUUUUUCUGACUGUUUCUAAUGCUAUGUUAAUGUGGUUGGUAUUUAUUAGAGAAAAUUCUUUUCAAUGUUUGUUGAUCAAAAGGACGGUAAACUCUUACUUAAUCAGAGAGCUCUCAGUUGCUUGGAAAAACAAAAAUGUCUACAUAACCAAAUCUUGCCUAGAAAACUCUAAAAUGGAUUACUCAGUCUCCUGCCCUCAAAGCAUUUCCUGCUUUUUAAAAUAGAGAAUACUGAACAGGAUUUAAAGUUUUCCUUGAUGACUCAGGGCCACCAUUAUGGAAAACAAUUUCAUAAUGAUGUGAUUUCCCAGGGAUUUUUAAGAUGGGUAGAGCUGCCAACUCCUACUGAGUGGCCCAGGACCAUCCUUUGAAAUUUUUCACCUUUACCUAUUCAUCACUCUUACUAUCAGCUGACACUUUUUACUUAUGUCAAUGUACCAGCUUCUUGGAGUAACCCCCCUGGUGCUCUUCAUCUAUGUGAGGGAGCUUUGGGUUAUACACUAAAUGGUCCUCAGUGAAGAUCCUUCAGUUAUUCUGUUUGCUUUAAACAUUUUUGCCACCUCCUUUGUCUGCUGUCAGCUGUCUCUUCUGUUGGUGUCAGUGUGUUUUUCCGUUUCAAACUUAAAUGCUCGUUUUACAGUAGUUCAGAAGAGGGUUGAGAGUAAUUUUGUAGAAUUGUUGAAAUGUGCAGAAAUUUUUUGACAUCUAUUUUUUAUUUUGAAGUUUUUUUAAUCCAUUAUUUCCAAAACCACAAUUCUGUUUUAAACACUAAAAAUUUCUGUCAUUGAAAUGAAGGUUUUUUUAAAAAAGAGAGAAAAUAAGAAAAUAAUUGACUAUUUUUCAAUCAAUUUUAAGAGUAUCCUGAUACAAUACCCCAGGCCUGCCGUUUCUAAGUAAAUAAGUGGAUGAAAGGAUGGUUGGUUUAAUUAUUUCUGCUUUGAAGCCUAUUAAUAAUUUGUAGAUUUAUCUUUUAGAGGGUUAUUUAAAUUUUCUUGUAAUUUUCAAGUAAAUUCUAAAUAUCUCCAAGAUAUGGAUUAUGUUUUACUCAUUUUUGUGUCUUCUGUGACCAACAUAGUGUCAGGCACAGAGAAAAUAUUAAUCUCUAUUUGUUUAAUGUAAUUGAGUUGAUUGAAUGGCCAUCACUGUACAAAAUCCUCUAUCAACAGAGAAAGUUUAGAUGUUCUGCAAACUCUGCGCCCCAAGGUAGGAAGCAGACCGUUUGAGCAAUGAGAUUGGUAUAGAUAAUCUCUAGACUCCCCUCCAUUGGCUCUUCCAUAGUCUUACCCAACCCCACUCCCCACCCCACCCCUGCCACCAUUUUGCUUUAGGGGCUUUGAACAGAAGCUCCGAAAGAUCAUGCUACGUGAACAGAUUUCAUAUAUCCAUCUGAAUCUGUUUUAUAUCUCCUGGUCAUUUUCCAGCCAAAAGCUGGUCCCUGGGCCCAUGUCCCCAUGUUUAGUGUUUUGCCGCCCUCCAUCCAUAUACAUUCUACACAAAAUACCUUCUCCAGCAAAGUUCAGGUUUAGUACCCAAAAAUAAUUUCAAGAAUAUAUGGUAAACAUAAUCUACUAUUUUUCUGACUGUUUCUAAUGCUAUGUUAAUGUGGUUGGUAUUUAUUAGAGAAAAUUGCCCUCCAGGGCAGAGGAAGUGACUGUACGUGUGACUUGAAAGGGUGACUUACUACUUUAUGUUAACUGGGCUCUUUUACUUCACUGUUGGCAUAGACAUUAGAGUAUUCACAAUAUUCAUUGCAGCCAGGGAAGAAUUUCUUGAGUCUAAAGGCUGUGGGGGAUUUGAGGAGACAGAAGAGGAAAAGGCCCAGAACUCUAUUCUCUUGAGCAUUCUGGUACAUUCAGGAAUUGCAUGCAGGUCUGGUAGAUUUUCAGUGCCCGCUGCUUUCCUGCCUCUGAGGACUUUUCCCUCCAUCACUCACAGAUGCUGUUUACCCAAGUGUUGACAAGCAGCUUUUUCAAGGAUGCUGGAAAGAUGGUUACAUUGAAGCUAAGCUUUUGGUUCCCUGCUCAAUACCACAAAAAGUGGACAAGUGUGCCUCUUAAUCAAGUUUGUCCUCACAAAGAGAUAAUCUCUGCUUUUUGGUUUGAGAACCACUCAUAUGCCCCCAUUCUCAUAGUAAAUGAUAGCUUGUUAAACUUUUCUCCAUGUAUAUACACAAAACAAUGUCACUCAGGAUGAAUAAUUGUAUUGUCCGCACAGUAAAACUCCCAUUCCGUCUGUGUUUCUUCUAGCCCAAGCCCCAGAGAUUAAGCUGUGACAUAGCAGGUGAAAUAUUUCUACUAUUUACCUAAAGAUGAAAAUGCAAGCAGAAGGAGCUAUGAAAGAGGCUCAGCUAGACUCUGACAUCAGACAGCCUUCCUACAUAUAAUCUCAUGGGCAAGUUCUAGGGAUUUAUUUAUUUAUUUAUUUACCCAUUAGGACUUCAGAACAGAUAAGUAGAACUGCUCUUUUUCUGUGCCCAUGCCACGUUGCAGUUAAAACAAAACAACAGCAACAACAUUUUUUAAGCAAUUGUGUAUACUUUUUGGCACUAAUAUAAGCUGUAUACUAGAAGCUACUCAUUUUUCUGAUCUCAAGUUCAGCUUUAUGAGUGUGAUCUUCCAGAGAGUAGAUAAGAAAGGGCACCUUUUUUUGUAGACUUGAAUGUGACUUUAAGUACAUAACUUCCAGAUGAAUAUUCUGGCCUAUCAGGCUUCAUUUAAGAAAAAAAAUUGAUGUUGAGUUGUAUGAGCUGUUUAUAUAUAUGUUGUUUACUAACAACCCAAUUAAAAAAAUGGGCAGAGCUGAAUAGAUAUUUCUCCAAAGAGGAAAUGCAGAUGACCAAUGGGCGCGUGAAAAGAUGCUCAGCAUCACUGAUCACCAGGGAAAUGCAAAGUCAAACCACAAUGAGAUAUCUCUUCAUACUUGCAGAAUGGCUAACAUCAAAAACACAGAUAGCAAAUGUUGGAGAAGAUGUGGAGAAAAGGAAACCCUUGUACACUCUUGGUGGGCAUGUAAAUAGAUAUAGCCACUGUGGAAAACACUAUGGAGGUCUCUCAAAAAACUAAAAAUAGGAGUUCCCAUCAUGGCACAGCAGAAACAAAUCCAACUAGGAAUCAUGAGGUUGCAGAUUCGAUCCCGGGCCUCCCUCAGUGGGUUAAGGAUCUAGCAUUGCCAUGAGCUGUGGUGUAGGUCACAGAUGCGACUCAGAUCUGAUGUGGCUGUGGCUGUGGGGUAGGCUGGCAGCUGUAGCUCCAAUUGGAGCCCUGGUCUGGGAAUCUCCUUAUGCCGUGGGUGUGGCCCUAAG
rnacentral:lncRNA from 1 species